GGAUAUCUUCAACUCCCACAGUUCCCACUACCACCUCUAUCUAAACAGUGUCCUAGUCGUCAUGGCUCAGCCUAGCCUGCAGUUCUGAAUUUCUUUCUUACCUGAUCCAUUUUAAUGUGGACACUUAAGUCCUUGACUAGACAAAGGGAUUUAAUGAAUGAGGCCUGAAAUUUUCUUUUCAAAGAUAAGAUUUUAUGCAAAGUAACUUAAAAUAGGAAAAAGCUAAGUUUUCUGGUAAACAUGAACCACAAAGAGCCAUGACUGUUGAACUUGCAUACAUCAUCAUUAGUGUGUUGUGACUUUUUACAUGUUUUGUUGACUGCUUGCUGUGAUUUUUAAAUUUUUUAAAAUUUUAGUUUGAAGUGGUAUUAAGGAAGAACUACUUAAUUGUUGUACAUUUAUUUUUCAGACGAACAUUACAUCUGAACUAAGCAAAUGGAGAUUUAAUUUUAUUGACUGGCACCGAAUGGAAAUGAAAAAAGAGAAGGAAAAAACAUGCAACACAUGUAAAGCAACUGUGCAGCCAGAUCAAUGACUUGAAGCAGCUGCAGAAAGACUUCGAAAUUUCCAUUAGGAGAAAAGAUGAGCACCAAGUGUGACAGAAAUGGGAAGAAGAUGGGUCAUUCCUCGGGGAAAGCCAGAAGAGAUUCAGCUGCUCCAUUCAACCAUCUCUUACUCAAUGGAGGCGCUAGUCAGGCAGAGGAAGCCCAGGCCCUGGUAAGUUGCUGUCUUAGAGUCACAUUCCAUGUGGACGGGAGCCGUGUCCAUCUGAGGGGUGCAGUGGGGCCUGUGUAGUGGUAGAGGGCAGAGUGCUGCUUCCCUGAGAGAGUGUCUUCCUUGUCCUUCCUGGGGCAGGAUCAAGAUCUGGGCCAAUUGUCACUGUUUAGGACAACAUGCAGUGGGAUGGAGACUCUCCCCAUGGUCAGAUAUGCCCAGGGUGACAUUUUGUCUUGGGAAAGCAGAGGCGAUGCUGAGGAGCUGGACCCUGGGUCUCCAGAGCACUGUGUGGGUCCUGUCCAUAUCAUCGUUCAUUAUGCAGCUACGAAUGCUGUGAGGUCUCCUUAUGACACUUCCUCCCCCAGGGAAACCACGUGACAUUUGAUUUCCUAUAAUUGAGACCUAUUUUUGAUGGAAAAUAAACAUGGGCUUUAGAAUGAGUCACUGCUAGCUUUGGUCCCAACAUAGACCCUUUCGUCUGCCUGACCUGGAGAAGUUUUUUCUCCACAUAUUAGCCUGGUUUUCCAUGUCUGAUUAAAGGGCAUAUGGCUAUUGAGAGGCCUAACUGUCACUAAUACCAACAAUUCAGAAAGUUCUGUUUAUUAUAAUCAAACAUUUUAAACCCUAGACCACCAACCUGUGUCACAUUAGCUAAUUUUCUAGGUAACAUUCAACAGGUUUUCCAGCGUAUUCACAGCAUUGUCGAAGAUCAGAGACCAAUAAGAAGGGCUGCCUGUCUCUCCAUCUCCAUAAAGUCCCUGCUUCCACUUCCCUCCUUUCCCCUGAAAGUGUCUCUCUCUUGCUGGGCUGUGAUCCUCAGAAUGUGCAUCAGGAUGACCUAGGAGACUGCCUUGGGUUAGCUUUCUGUUUCUGUAACAAAAAAAUCGUGAGAUAAUGAACUUAUAAAGAGGAUAGGUUUACUUAUCUUACAGUGUCAGAGGUUGACUUAGUUGCUUUGGGAGCCUGGUGGUGCAGCACGGCAGGGGGAUGUCAGAGAGCAAAGUGUGCAUCUAAUGGCUGGCAAGUGAAAGAGAAAAGGGAAGGGCUGAGGUCCCUUUAUCCACUUCAAGCUCCUCUCCCCAGUUCUCCUGAUUAAGUAAGUUUAGAAAACUUGGAACAAAGUUAAACAGAUUUUAUUUUGCUCCCAGAC
rnacentral:lncRNA from 1 species